rnacentral:tRNA from 1 species
GGGCCUGUAGCUCAGCUGGUUAGAGCAGCGGACUCAUAAUCCGUUGGUCGACAGUUCAAGUCUGUCCAGGCCCACCA